CUGUGGCGUCCGGCCACACCGUGAAGGAAGUCCCCGGAGCAGAGGCAGAAAACCACGUACAACCCUGGCAUGGGGCGGGGGGGAGCUACGACGCGGGUGACUCCCCUCCCCGGUCCUUUCGCUUUCCGGGACUGCGACCUCCCCCCUCAGGGAAGCUGUGUGGUUAUAGAAGGGACCUGGUUGCCACAGCAAGAGCAGCUCUGCUUUGAUUCUCCAAAGCUUUUGAGAGGAGUCUGCUGCUAGUUCUGUCCAGGGGCUCUUUUAGCUUCUGUGGUAAGAUUUAUCUGCUUUAAAAAAUUGCAAGCUGUUGAUGUAUAAGUGAUGGUGACGAAGAUGUUUUUCUGUUCCUCUACCAUUAUAUCAGAAGAAUCUUAUCCAGUGGAAAUGUUCAGAAUCCAGCAAUCAGGAAGAACAGCUGUCGGCUGAUCAGAGUCCACAGCCAGCAGCUGAGGCAGAGCAACUGACACUCUCCAGUCUCAACCCCACAGGUGAAGCUCAGCCAGGGGCUUCUAACCCUCCAGAGUCACCCACACCCAGAGAGCGUGACAGACAAUGACAUCACAUGGAGCUGUGGGAAAGACGUUACAGUGCUCACCUCCUGGGCCGACGCCAGCUGCUUGGGGAUAGCGAUGAUGAGAAGUAUCAGGAUAGCUCCCAAGCAGCUGGCCGCAAACACUGCAUGGCUAUAAAGACCAGCCAAAGGGAACUGUUGUGUAUGGAAGCAACACGUUGGAUUCCUGCUAUUGCUGCGACCACUUCAUUGAACAUUGCCUUGUUCCUGUGACCUUCAGACCACUCCCUAACUCUGCCUACGUGUAACCCUUGAACUUGCCAGUAAUUGACCUUGUAGUAGGUGAGAGGGAUCACUGAGCAAAGUAAAAAUCCUUUUGUUUUGGUUAUUAUAAUUAAGAUUUAACCUUGGACGAGCUUCUUCCCAGAAGUAUAACAAAAAAUAUGGCUCCAGCUUUUGAAAUGAUUGUAUGAUUCACCUGUUACUCAAGUUUGUUGCAUUCUGGGAAAUGCAUCAAUCUGAAGGGAUGUUUGUAUUAACCUUUUUGAUCUUUUAUUCUGUAAAAAAAUAGCAUUUAUUCUGUAAACAAUGCUAAGGUAUAUAAGGUUCUCUGUUGUAACUAUUCUUUACACAUAUACGCCUGGAAGA